GAUGAAGAACGUAGCGAAAUGCGAUAAGUAAUGUGAAUUGCAGAAUUCAGUGAAUCAUCGAAUCUUUGAACGCACAUUGCGCCCGCCAGUAUUCUGGCGAGCAUGCAUGUUCGAGCGUCAUUUCAACCAUCAAGCCCCAGGCUUGUGUUGGAGCCCUGCGGCUGCCGCAGCCUCCCAAAACCAGUGGCGGGCUCGCUAUCACACCGAGUGCAGUAGUUUACUCUUCGCUCAGGGCGUGUGGCGGGUGCUAGCCGUGAAACCCCCAACUUCUCAAGGUUGACCUCGGAUCAGGUAGGAAUACCCGCUGAACUUAAGCAUAUCAAUAAGCGGAGGA
rnacentral:misc_RNA from 1 species